rnacentral:rRNA from 1 species
CCCUAUGGGGUGCAGCAGGUGCUGGAUGAUAUGCUGGAAACGAACCGACAAUGGUUGCCCCAAUUUUUUGAGUGACCGGUAAGACAAUAUCCACAUGUUAAUGUACGGAAAGGAAAACAAUGACAGCAAACCCUCUUCUUAAAAAACUUGGCUAUUCGGAUACUGAUCGUCUGGUUAUUAUCCAUGCUGAUGACAUUGGCAUGUGCCAGGCCUCCAUUCAAGCUUUUAAAGAGUUAUGGGAGUUCGGCACCCUGUCCUCCGGGGCGGUGAUGGCUGUCUGCCAAUGGUUCCUUGCUGCAGCGGAGAUGGCUCUCCAGAACCCUGCCAUGGAUCUGGGCAUCCAUGCCACCCUGAAUGCGGAAUGGAAAACCUACCGCUGGGAGC